GACGAACGCUGGCGGCGUGCUUAACACAUGCAAGUCGAACGGAAAGGCCCUGCUUUUGUGUGGUGCUCGAGUGGCGAACGUGUGAUUAACACGUGAGUAACCUGCCCUUGACUUUGGUAUAACUUCAGGAAACUGGGGCUAAUACCGGAUAUGAGCUCCUGCUGCAUGGUGGGGGUUGGAAAGUUUCGGCGGUUGGGGAUGGACUCGCGGCUUAUCAGCUUGUUGGUGGGGUAGUGGCUUACCAAGGCCUUGACGGGUAGCCGGCCUGAGAGGGUGACCGGCCACAUUGGGACUGAGAUACGGCCCAGACUCCUACGUGAGGCAGCAGUGGGGAAUAUUGCACAAUGGGCGGAAGCCUGAUGCAGCAACGCCGCGUGAGGGAUGACGGCCUUCGGGUUGUAAACCGCUUUCGCCUGUGACGAAGCGUGAGUGACGGUAAUGGGUAAAGAAGCACCGGCUAACUACGUG
rnacentral:rRNA from 1 species